ACUGAAGAGCUGCGCUGUGGCAUUAAGGAGAAGGAAACUGUGAAAAUGAGAUGAAUGGAGGUCUGAAGAGGAGCGGGAAAUGUCAAGGAGAUGGCGCUACGUCCAACCAGAGGUUGCCAUGGAGAUUGAAGGAUUUCUCAAACAUACAUGAAGGAAUCAAAGCAACAAUCCAGGCAGAAGUCAGUAAAUAAAUGAAAUGAAUCAGUCUUGGUAAAAGCUGGCAUCCAGAGGCUGGGGGCGUCCAGAGGCUGGGGGCGUCCAGAGGCUGGGGGCGUCCAGAGGCUGGGGGCGUCCAGAGGCUGGGGGCGUCCAGAGGCUGGGGGCGUCCAGAGCCUGGGGGCGUCCCAGACGUCACUCUGCCCUCCCCGUCUGAGACUCGCCAACCGACCGCAGCAGGAACUGAGAGCUGGCGAACGCAGCUCGAAGCGUCGCGUCUGCAGAGAGGGAGGAAAGAGUGAAGCUUCACUCUGUGAUGCAGCUGCUUUCUCUCUGUCAUGGAAGAAACGCUGCCUGUCUGCAGGGGUUCCCCAAGGCGCAGAGUGCAGACCCCUGCUCUUUGAAAAGUCUGACUUUAUCUGCUGUAUCAUUUCAUCUGACGCAGAUCAAUUUAUGACGACUCUGUGGAGACUUGAGGGGGGCAGAGGAGUAAACCUCAGAUGAUGCAAACAGAUCCUCAGGACAAGCAAGAGACAUUUUCUUCCCCUGGUUUGCAGUCGGUUCCUCUGGGCUCAUCAUGUUUAUAUCUUACUAACAUUUUCUAAGUUCACCAAACGGCACAUGCAGACAUGGAGAAAGAAAACAGUUUAUUCACUGACAGAUUUCACUCAUCAUCAUUUCUUCAUCUCCUUGAAAGCAGAACUGAGCUGAUUGUUGCAACGGCAAUCAGCAACUUCCUCACAUAAGCAACUGUUGCCAAUGUUUAACAAUCUGAUCUCCAGUUAGUCUUAAACAUGUUUGAAUUUUAAUAAAUUGGAAAUGUUGGAUAAGUGCAAUAAUCAGAUUAAAAUCUUAAAUUAGCAAAAGUUUUUUUUACAGUUGAAACAAAAUGUUUAAAAAUAAACAGACAUUUUGAAGAAAGUCAAACUGAACUUUCCUUGUUUAUUUAUUAAUGCCAGAAAACUUUGCAUGUUGUGUUUAAUUUGUUUGGAUUGUUUCAGUAUAAUAAAUAUUUAUUACUCCUAUAAA